GGAUCCUUAGCUCAGUUGGUAGAGCAGAUGCCUGUUAAGCAUCGAGUCUCAGGUUCGAGUCCUGGAGAAUCCG
rnacentral:tRNA from 1 species